UAUUUGUUGACUCACCAAUACCACUUUGCCACAUAACGACCCAACCACACUCCCCAUUUCUUGAUUCUUUGUAAAAAAAUUAUAAAAACAAAAAAGCCGACACAAAGCUUCUUUUAUGUGAUACCAAAGCCCAGCAGACCAUGAUCAUUUUCAGCUGGGGGAUAUAAAGAAAAAAGAGCGAACAAAACUUUUCCAAACUUGGAAGUUUUUUUUAUCCUUUGUGGGACCGGCAAUUUGCUGCUGUUGACCGUGUUUGACUGGAUGGGGUUUGUUUAAUUUGCUGCUCAAGGUUCUGAUGUUUGGUGAGCCAACUUGAUUAUAGCCUAAACCCAGCCAACUAAUCUCACACAUAUCAUUUCAUCUAAACACCCAAAGACCCUUUUCACCACAACCAACCACCAUAAUCCAUCAUUACCCACCCCUUGUAUCAAAAAGACAAAAACCUAUUCAAUAUUUUCAUCACCUAAAAAUUAAAGAUGAUUGUCUUAGCUUGAAGAGAUAUUGAGAUAUCGAAGAAGUUGAAGGUCGAAAGGCCAUCCACCACCGUCUUAUGGGAGAAGGGUUAGUCCUAGAUCGUUUAUCACAACCAGCAUUAUAGCUAGGACGAACAUGAAAGCAAGGUUCCAUGGACAUGGCUCGAGUACAAGGAGGAUUUUGCACUGCUUCAUUAUCAGGCAUGUGUAAUAUCCAUGGCGUCAAUCCCCCAAGACCUUGAGCUACAUAACCAAACGUUGACCCGGGACUCGUGAUCAGUUUAUCGCUCAAGCUCAGCUUCUGAUUGCGGUCCACAUCGGGUGUGAAGUGCUUCGUAUUCUCUUAAUCUGGAAAUUAGAUAAGACGAAGGUUUAUGCAGUG